rnacentral:rRNA from 1 species
UACGAAGGGGGCUAGCGUUGCUCGGAAUCACUGGGCGUAAAGGCGCACGUAGGCGGCUUUUUAAGUCAGGGGGUGAAAUCCUGGAGCUCAACUCCAGAACUGCCUUUAUACUGGGAGCUCGAGUCCGGGAGAGGUGAGUGGAACUCCGAGUGUAGAGGUGAAAUUCGUAGAUAUUCGGAAGAACACCAGUGGCGAAGGCGGCUCACUGGCCCGGUACUGACGCUGAGGUGCGAAAGCGUGGGGAGCAAACAGG